UACGUAGGGUCCGAGCGUUGUCCGGAAUUACUGGGCGUAAAGAGCUCGUAGGCGGUCUGUUGCGUCCGCUGUGAAAACUCGGGGCUUAACCCCGAGCCUGCAGUGGAUACGGGCAGACUAGAGGUAGGUAGGGGAGAAUGGAAUUCCCGGUGUAGCGGUGAAAUGCGUAGAUAUCUGGAGGAACACCGGUGGCGAAGGCGGCAUCCUGGACCAACACUGACACUGAGGAGCGAAAGCCAGGGGAGCAAACGGG
rnacentral:rRNA from 1 species